UACAGAGGGUGCAAACGUUGCUCGGAAUCAUUGGGCGUAAAGCGCACGUAGGCGGCCCAGCAAGCGGGGAGUGAAAGCCCUCAGCUUAACCGAGGAAGUGCUUUCCGAACUACUGGGCUUGAAUACUGGAGAGGGUCGCGGAAUUCCCGGUGUAGAGGUGAAAUUCGUAGAUAUCGGGAGGAACACCAGUGGCGAAGGCGGCGACCUGGACAGAUAUUGACGCUGAGGUGCGAAAGCGUGGGGAGCAAACAGG
rnacentral:rRNA from 1 species